UCCAUUUUGGGUUUAUAAGAGAAAGGAAUGUUUGUUUCUGUAAAUGAGAUAAAGGCUGUGAAUGUGACUGUGCAUGUGUUAAUAUCCCCCUGUGGAUCCCUCAUCUGAAAAGCAUCUACUUGUAGCCUGGAAGUCCUAUUCUAAAGGUUGGCUUUUCAUUUGGAGAAAGUCUGGCUAUGGAGUAGGUAAUGGGUUUACUUGUGCUUGGAGUGAGAGUGAAGGGCUUUAAAGAUGUAGGGAAAGACAUGUAUGGUUUCUGAUGUGUGUACUAUGUGUUGUUUUAAUAACUUGCAUGUAUAACUUGUGUUACUUCACUUAGGCAUCUGUUUUACAGGUUGGAUCCAAGUUUCGCAAAAACUGCUGUGCAAGCACUUUAGCAUUGGCUGAUGAGUAGGGGAUGCUGGCCAUAUUUGCUUUAGAAAUAUUCUGUUCCAGUUGCCCUUCAGUCAUGUGUUGGAAACACUAUCAGCAGAUGCAGGCAACCUUGGACAGCUGAAGCUUGUGAAGACCAUAUAGCAUCCUGUUUCUUUUUGUAGGUAAGAGCAGAUGGAUAAAUUCAGUUUGUGUUGUCAUUUUUAACCUGGACAUCUUUGUUUUACAGGUUGGGCCCUGGUAUAGGAAAAACUAGGAGUGGAGGCAGGUAACUUUGGACAGCUAAAGCUUGUGAUCAAGAGGUGAGUAGAAAAAUAGAAGUAAAUGGAUAAUAGUGAUUCUUCAUCUUGGGGAUUGAUUGCUUUUUACAGGUUUUCCUUGUUUGGAAGACUUCUUUGGUACUUCAGUCUGUCAUACUUCCUGUUUCUGGAUCCACUUUCUUUUUAUAGGUAUUUGAGCAUAUGGACAAAUUCAGUUUGGUAUUAUCCUUCUUCAGCCCAACUGAAGCAUGAUAGGUUGGGACAUUGUGUGGAAUGGUUAGUGGAGAGGAAGGUAACCUUGCACAGUUGAAAGCUUAUGAUCACUAGGUGAGUAGAAAAAUAGAAGUGCAUGAAUAACAGUGAUUCUUCAGCUUAUGAAUCUGUUAGUUUUUUUUUAAAAGUUUUUUAUGGUGGGGAAGACCUCUAGCCACUGUGGUUCUUUAGCCUCUCAUACUUCCUGUUUUUGGAUCCUGUGUUUUGUUUUUUUUUUGGUUGGAUUACAGGUUGAAUACUUUGUGGAAUGGCGAGCAGUAGAGGGAGUAACAUUGGACUGCUGAAGCUUGUGAUGAGUGUGUAGAAGAAAGUGAGAAAGAUUAUUGUUUCUUCAGCUUGGGCAUUUGUUUUUUACAGGAUUUCCUGGUUUUGGAGAUGUCUAUCCAAUGUGGUAUGUCAGCCUUGGUAGUUUUCUGGGGAUCCUCUUUCAUGUGGUAGGUAAGUGAGUGGAUAGAAAUAUGGAGUUUGCCAUUGUCAUUUUUCAGCCUGGGCCUCUUUGUUUUACAGGUUGAUAUAUUGUGUGGAAUAGCUAGCAGUGAAGAGGCAGGUAAACGUGCGAUGAUAGGUGAGUAGAAAAAAUAGGUGUGCAUGGAUAAUGACGAUUCUUUGUCCUGGGUUUGUUUUACAGAUUGGAACAUUGUGUCCAGUAGAAGCAGCUUACCUUGCAUCACUGAAAGCAUGGUAUCCAUAGGUGAGUAGAAACAAUAAAAGUGCAUAGAUAAACAUAAAUCUUAAGCCAGUACAUCUUUGUUUUCUUCCAGAUUGAGACAUUUUGUGGAAAAGGCUACCUGCAGAGGCAGGUAACUUUGCACAGCUGAAGCUUGUGAUCCAUAGGUGGUUAGGUGAGUUUAAAAAUAGGUGUGCAUGGAUAAUGAUGAUUCUUUGUCUUGGGUCUGUUUUACAGAUUGGAACAUUGUGUGGAUUGGAGGAAGCUUACCUUGCAUCACUGAAAGCAUGGUAUUCAUAGGUUAGUAGAAACAAUUAAAGUGCAUAGAUAAAGAUAAAUCUUAAGCCUGUACAUCUUUCUUUUCCAAAUUGGGACAUUGUGUGCAAGAGACUAGCAGCAGAGGCAGGUAACUUUGGACAUCUGGAGCUUGUCUUCCAUAGGUGAGUAGAAAAGACUCACUUGAAAGACUUCUAGGUACAUCAGCCUCUCAAACUUCCUGUUUCUUUAAUGAACGGCCAAAUUUAGUUUGGCAUUGUCAUUCUUCACCCAGUAGAUUAUUGUUUUAUAGAUUUGAACAUUUUGUGUACUGGAGACAGGUUUCCUUGUUCUGCUGAAGCUUCCUAUAGGUGAGUAGAGGAAUAGGUGUGCAUGGAUAAUGAUGAUUCUUUGUCCUGGGUCUGUUUUAUAGAUUGGGACAUUGUGUGGAUUGGAGGAAGCUUACCUUGAAUCACUGAAAGCAUGGUAUUCAUAGGUUAGUAGAAACAAUAAAAGUGCACAGAUAAAGAUAAAUCUUAAGCCUGUACAUCUUUGUUUUCCAGAUUGGGACAUUGUGUGGAAAAGGCUAGCCGCAGAGGCAGGUACCUUCUCGCCAAUGUGGUACAUGAGCCUUUCAAACUUCCUGUUUCUUUAGGUAGGUGUUAGUGGGUUGACAAAUUUAGUUUGGCAUUAUCAUUGUUCACCCUGGGCAUUUUUGUUUUACAGAGACAGGCAACUUUGGGCAGCUGAAGCUUGUGACCUAUAGGUAAGUAGUAAAAUAGGAGUGCAUGACUAAAGAUGAUUCAUAAGCUUGGCAUCUAUUUGUUAACGGGCUUUCCUUCUUUGUAGACUUCUAGCCACUGAGGUUCUUUAGCCAAGCAAACUUUGUUUCCUUUGGUAGGUAUAUGAGUUGAUAGACAAUUUCAGUUUGGUGUAGCCAUUCUUCAGCCAGGGGGCAUCUCUGUUUUACAGGUUGAUACACUGAGUGAAAUGGCUAGCAGGGGAAACUGGUAACUUUGAACUGUUGAAGAUUAUGAUCUACAGGUGAGAAGAAGAAUAGGUGUGCAUGGAUAAUGAUGAACCUUCAACCAUCUAUUUUUAUUUUUUUUACAGGUUUUCCUCAUUUGGAAGACUUCUAGUCACUGUGCUACUUCAGCCUGUCAAACUUCCUAUUUCUUUAGUGAACCCCCAUAUUUAGUUUGGCAUUGUCAUUCUUCACCCAGUACGUUAUUGU